rnacentral:rRNA from 1 species
UACGGAGGGUGCAAGCGUUAUCCGGAUUCACUGGGUUUAAAGGGUGCGUAGGUGGGUUGGUAAGUCAGUGGUGAAAUCCCCGAGCUUAACUUGGGAACUGCCAUUGAUACUAUCAGUCUUGAAUACCGUGGAGGUCAGCGGAAUAUGUCAUGUAGCGGUGAAAUGCUUAGAUAUGACAUAGAACACCAAUUGCGAAGGCAGCUGGCUACACGAAUAUUGACACUGAGGCACGAAAGCGUGGGGAGUCAAACAGG